rnacentral:rRNA from 1 species
GACGAACGCUGGCGGCGUGCCUAAUACAUGCAAGUUGAGCGAUGAAGAUUGGUGCUUGCACCAAUUUGAAGAGCAGCGAACGGGUGAGUAACGCGUGGGGAAUCUGCCUUUGAGCGGGGGACAACAUUUGGAAACGAAUGCUAAUACCGCAUAACAACUUUAAACAUAAGUUUUAAGUUUGAAAGAUGCAAUUGCAUCACUCAAAGAUGAUCCCGCGUUGUAUUAGCUAGUUGGUGAGGUAAAGGCUCACCAAGGCGAUGAUACAUAGCCGACCUGAGAGGGUGAUCGGCCACAUUGGGACUGAGACACGGCCCAAACUCCUACGGGAGGCAGCAGUAGGGAAGCUUCGGCAAUGGACGAAAGUCUGACCGAGCAACGCCGCGGGAGUGAAGAAGGGUGUCGGAUCGUAAAACUCUGUUGGUAGAGAAGAACGUUGGUGAGAGUGGAAAGCUCAUCAAGUGACGGUAACUACCCAGAAAGGGACGGCUAACUACGUG